UACGGAGGGUGCAAACGUUAUCCGGAUUCACUGGGUUUAAGGGGUGCGUAGGUGGGUUGAUAAGUCAGUGGUGAAAUCCCCGAGCUUAACUUGGGAGCUGCCAUUGAUACUAUUAGUCUUGAAUACUGUGGAGGUCAGCGGAAUAUGUCAUGUAGCGGUGAAAUGCUUAGAUAUGACAUAGAACACCAAUUGCGAAGGCAGCUGGCUACACAAAUAUUGACACUGAGGCACGAAAGCGUGGGGAUCAAACAGG
rnacentral:rRNA from 1 species